rnacentral:SRP_RNA from 1 species
GCCGGGUGUUGUGGCGGGCACCUGUAGUCCCAGCUACUCGGGAGGCUGAGGCAGGAGAAUGGUGUGAACCCGGGAGGCGGAGCUUGUAGUGAGCUGAGAUCCGGCCACUGCACUCCAGCCUGGGCGANNNNNNNNNNUCGCCCAGGCUGGAGUGCAGUGGCCGGAUCUCAGCUCACUACAAGCUCCGCCUCCCGGGUUUACGCCAUUCUCCCGCCUCGG